rnacentral:rRNA from 1 species
AUGAGUUUGCUUUACGAAGCAUGUACUAGUUCAGUUUCUGAGAUUGAAGGAAUGACUGGUAUGGGUUCUGGUACUGGGAGCUAUUCUGUUGUGCAGAACCAUUUAUUUUCAUAUGAUCAUAUAAAAUCAGUCGUCGAGCGGUUAGGUGCAGCCGUAAAGACUACUCAGUAUAGCAAUGAAGGGAACACAAAGGAACUAAAGGCUACUGUUCUUGAGUUGCAGCAGGAGCUUCAGGGAAAAGAUGUGCAAAUUAGCACAAUCAGUUCGGAGCUUGCAUCUCAGAUAAGGGAAGCUGAAUCUUAUGCGAAGCAGCUUUCUGUUGAGCUUGACGAUGCAAGAAUGCAAGUACACAAUUUGGAAGAACAUGUUGAGAUGUUGCUUAAUCAGAAGAAAGCUUUAGAGACCCAAGCAAGUGAGCUUAAAGAUUUGGAGACAGUGGCAAGUGAGCAGCAUGGAAGAAUAAAAGAGUUGACUGAUGAACUGAGCAGAAAAGACCAAGAGAUUGAAGGUUUGAUGCAAGCACUUGACGAAGAAGAAAAGGAGCUUGAAGUCUUGGAGAACAAAAGCAAUGACUUGGAGCAGAUGCUGCAAGAAAAAGAAUUUUCUUUGAAGAGCCUUGAAGAUUCUAGGACAAAAGCUCUGACUAAACUUGCAACCACUGUCGAGAAGUUUGACGAGUUGCAUAGCUUGUCUGAAAGUCUUCUUGCAGAAGUGGAAAGCCUUCAGUCACAAUUGCAAGAGAGAGAUUCAGAGAUCUCGUUUCUGCGCCAAGAAGUCACAAGGAGUACUAAUGAACUAUUAACCACUGAAGAUAGCAACAAGCAGUACUCAUCGCAGAUAAAUGAUUUUGUUAAGUGGUUAGAAACUGCGCUGAUGCAGUUUGGUGUGCAUUGUGAGAGCGCAGAUGACCAUGAUUACACUCAGGUUCCAGUAUAUAUGGACAUGUUGGACAAAAAAAUAGUGUCGUUGAUAUCUGAAUCAGAUGAAUUGAGGGUUGCUGUGCAAAGCAAAGAUUCUUCACUACAGGUCGAGAGGACCAAAAUGGAAGAGUUGUUGCGUAAAUCAGAGGCUCUAGAAGCUUCUUUGAGCCAAAAGGAUUCUCAGAUAGGGAUGCUUCGUCGAGACAGGACGAUGGGCCAACCUAGAUCUAUAAACUUGCCUGGCACUUCGGAGAUUGAGCAAAUGAAUGACAAAGUAAGCCCAGCUGCGGUUGUCACUCAGAUUCGAGGGGCACGGAAAGUCAACAACGACCAAGUUGCUAUUGAUGUAGAGAUGCACAAGGACAAACCAUUAGAUGAUGAAGAUGACGAUAAAGCGCAUGGUUUCAAGUCACUGACGAUGUCGCGCAUUGUUCCGAAGUUCACUCGACCUAUAUCAGACAGAAUCGACGGGAUGUGGGCAUCUGGUGAUAGAUUGCUCAUGAGACAACCAACCUUGAGACUUGGUGUCUUGAUAUACUGGAUAGCAUUGCAUGCAUUGCUUGUGAGUUUUAUUUGA